GAUGAACGCUGGCGGCGUGCCUAAUACAUGCAAGUCGAGCGAACAGACGAGGAGCUUGCUCCUCUGACGUUAGCGGCGGACGGGUGAGUAACACGUGGAUAACCUACCUAUAAGACUGGGAUAACUUCGGGAAACCGGAGCUAAUACCGGAUAAUAUAUUGAACCGCAUGGUUCAAUAGUGAAAGAUGGUUUUGCUGUCACUUAUCGAUGGAUCCGCGCCGCAUUAGCUAGUUGGUAAGGUAACGGCUUACCAAGGCAACGAUGCGUAGCCGACCUGAGAGGGGGGUCGGCCACACGGGAGCUGAGACGGGGACCAGGCUCCUACGAGAGGCAGCAGUAGGCAACGUGCGGCAGUGGUGGGGAACCUUGCGGAACGGGGCCGCGUGUGAGAUGAAGGUCUUCGGAGCGUAAUACUCUGUUAUGAGUGAUAAACCAAUGUGUAAGGAAAUGUAGCGAUCUUGACGGUACCUGAACAGGAAGCCACGGCUAACUACGUG
rnacentral:rRNA from 1 species